GCAAGGGACGCUAGUACAGGUGGUGCAUGGCUGUCGUCAGCUCGUGUCGUGAGAUGUUGGGUUAAGUCCCGCAACGAGCGCAACCUUACCCUUAGUUGUUUCCCGAAAGGAUUACCCUCUAAGGGGACUGCCCCGGACAACGGGAGGAAGGUGGGGAUGACGUCAAGUCCGCAUGCUCCUUACGUCUAGGGCUACACACGUCCUACAAUGGGGUCGACAGUGGGAUGCAAAGCCGCGAGGUGGAGCCAAUCCCCAAACGGCCUCUCAGUUCGGAUAGUAGUCUGCAACUCGACUACUUGAAGUCGGAAUCGCUAGUAAUGGCGGAUCAGCAUGCCGCCGUGAAUACGUUCCCGGGUCUU
rnacentral:rRNA from 1 species